GCUGAGAGGUGGGAGUGCUCGAAAGAGAACCGGCGCACAGGUGCUGCAUGGCUGUCGUCAGCUCGUGUCGUGAGAUGUUGGGUUAAGUCCCGCAACGAGCGCAACCCUUGUCCUUAGUUGCUACGCAAGAGCACUCUAAGGAGACUGCCGGUGACAAACCGGAGGAAGGUGGGGAUGACGUCAAGUCCUCAUGGCCCUUAUGGGUAGGGCUUCACACGUCAUACAAUGGUCGGAACAGAGGGUUGCCAACCCGCGAGGGGGAGCUAAUCCCAGAAAACCGAUCGUAGUCCGGAUUGCACUCUGCAACUCGAGUGCAUGAAGCUGGAAUCGCUAGUAAUCGCGGAUCAGCAUGCCGCGGUGAAUACGUUCCCG
rnacentral:rRNA from 1 species